rnacentral:lncRNA from 1 species
CGAGCACAGAGGCGACUUCCCUCUCUCAGACUUUAGGCGCCACUGCAGGGUCCGGAAAAGAAAGAGAAACGGCCCAGCGCGGUCGCUUACAUAACCCAGGGCGGGGCUCCGCUCCGCCCCCGAAAGUUUUUGCGACGGAGUUUUCCCUCUUGUUGCCCAGGCUGAAGUGCAAUGGCGCGAUCUCGGCUCACCGCAACCUCCGCCUCCAAGGUUUAAGCGAUUCUCCUGCCUCAGCCUCCCGACUAGCUGGGAUUACAGGCAUUCACCACCAAGCCCGUCUAAUUUUAUAUUUUUAGUAGAGACGGGAUUUCCCCAUGUUGGUCAGGUUGGUCUCGAGCUCCCGACCUCAGGUGAUCGCCCGCCUCGACCUCCCAAAGUGCUGGGAUUACAGGCGUGAACCACCGUGCCCGGCCUUGGCCGCAUGUGUUUUGAAUUUUGCUGCCCGGAAUUCACUGCGAGGACUGGGAUCACCCGUCACCCCGCCCUGGUCUACGGAAAAUGAAAUGUGUUUACUGAUAUAGAAACGGAAUAACGGCGCUGUGGGCUGGGGAGGGCCGAGCUGCCUUCAGGCUUCUGGUCUCCAGCUGCAGGGCACUCACACCUGCCCGUUAUGAAAAUGCAGACCCGCAGGGCAGGAAUUCCGAGUCCGGGCUGGAGCGUGAUCUGGAAUCCGGCUCUCUUGAAACAGCACCGCGGAGGAUUCGGAUCCGGGAGCUGGGACAGUUAUAUUCAUCAGAACAGCACGGUGUCAAGGCCCUCACCCCCAGAAAGCUUAGGAGACACUGUUUUAUGGAGGAGAGUGAGAUUGGAGGAAGCCCUGACUCCAGGUCUCCUGAUCCUUCCUACACAAAGCGAAGCUGAAAAAAAGUGCAGGACACUCCAUUUCCUCCUGGGACCAGACAGGGAAGCCAGAGCCACCAUGGAUGUCAAAUUCCGGCAAGGAAACACCAGUAUAGCAAAAUCUCCACAUCACAUUUUAAAGCUCACACAAUGGCUCAAAGAGAACCCACAUCAAAAAACCGAAUUCCUAGCUCAGGUGAGAUCACCAAAGUUGCCUGUGAGGCUUCGUGGAACCUGCAGGUAGAAAGGACAUCUUUAUUUCGAGCUGCAGCCCAGUUGCUUCUGCGUCUUGGAGCCCCUUGAAAGGACCCUCUCCCUUCAACAGUACAUAGGGAGGCCAUUUCUGGGGAGAAAUGUAGACUGUCCUUAGACUCCUGAGGUUUUUACACUUGCUUGCUGACUCUGUGGACUUUGACUUCAUCAUUAAACAUCUUAUAAUGAUGUAAUUUGCUUUGACUGUAAGUGUAGAACAGGACGCUGUUCCUGAAUCAGGAAACAAGGGACUGGUGACCUGAACUGCCACCACCCUCCCUGGUGCUCAGAUGCAAUGAAAUCGUGAGGCAACAAAUCUAUGGCUAGGUAAAGGGUCAACUCCAUUUCAGCAAAUGUUUCAGAUGUUCCUUCCUGCCUAGUAAUGUUCCAGCUUUACCCCAGCCUUAAUCUUUUAAAAUGUAUAUUUUCCUUAGCGUUGAUUUUAAAGUAAUUCGUAUGUAUUUAUUACACUGGGUUUGUUGCAGUAAGCCACCUCGAAUGUUGCUGUAGAAUUAAAGUAAGCAAAUAAAUGUGUGGUUCUCCAAGGAG